rnacentral:rRNA from 1 species
UACGUAUGUCGCGAGCGUUAUCCGGAUUUAUUGGGCGUAAAGCGAGCGCAGGCGGUUGGUUAAGUCUGAUGUGAAAGCCCGGAGCUCAACUCCGGAAUGGCAUUGGAAACUGGUUGACUUGAGUGCAGUAGAGGUAAGUGGAACUCCAGGUGUAGCGGUGAAAUGCGUAGAUAUCUGGAAGAACACCAGUGGCGAAGGCGGCUUACUGGGCUGUAACUGACGUUGAGGCUCGAAAGUGUGGGUAGCAAACAGG